rnacentral:lncRNA from 1 species
UGACAAAUCUUUCUUUUCACCAUUGGAAUUAAUGGUGAAGUUUCUAGGUCGAGGCUUCCAAGCUAUGCAGCUUUUCCACCUUCUCAUAUCUUGAUUUUGACCAGCUGUGGAGAUUCCUCUCGACGAUACGAGUUCGGAGAUAUAAAGAUAAUCGAAAUCGGAGUUGAAACGAGCCCUGUAGAGCUCGCCGAAGUUUUGUCGGAAAACUGCCGGAAAAACCAGACCGUGCCGGAAUUCUCGCCUGAGAAGACAGACACGUCAUCCGACACGCAGGCGCUGAGUCAUCAUCCACGUCAUCAACAGAGGGUCCACAUCGCCCUGUCAUCAGACACGUCAUCAGCCAUGUCAUUUGACAGUGACAGAAUAUUCUCUUGACAGAAUAAGAAUAUUCCGUUACCAGUAAGAGAAUAUUCCCGUGACAGAAUAUUCUUUAUCAGAGACAGAAUAUUCCUUCCCUGAGUCAACUCGGUCAGAUUGGUUUUUUGGCCAACUCAGUGAUUUUUUGACCCGUUUUUGGCCGAGUCAAGUUGGUUCCUAGCAUUUUCAACCAUUCCGAACGCAACCGUGGUGUCCGUUUUGUUAAACAGCAUACCGAAGUUACUGUUUUGGCACUUUUGAGCAUAAAAGUGUGUGUUUUAACAAGUUCGGGAUUUCAUUUGUAAUCCAAAGACGUCCUAAUGGCUGAUAUUCCAGAAGAAAAAUCAGCGGGGAAUGCUAGUAUACCUCCACAAUACAUCCCGGUAUCGAAUACCAAAUUUGAGGUGGAGAAGUUUGAUGGGAAAGGUAAUUUUGGCAUGUGGAAAUGUGAAGUCAUGGAUAUGCUUGUCCAAAUGAAUUUGGAUUUCACUUUAGAAGAUAAACCGGAGGAUUUGGAUGAUAAAAGCUGGGAAAGGAUAAAUCGGUUGGCUUGCAGUUCCAUCCGACUUUGUCUUGUAAAGGAUCAGAAGUACGCCUUUUCAGAACAAAACUCUGCAAAGGAAUUAUGGCAAGCACUGGAGGACAAGUUUAUGAAAAAGAGUAUAGAGAAUCGUCUCUACUUGAAGAAAAGGAUCUUCCGUUUUCAGCACAAGAAAGGUACUUCUAUGAAUGAGCAUCUGAAUGAUUUCAAUAAAAUGAUAGCUGAUUUGAAGAAUUUAGAUGUGGAAAUUGAUGAUGAAGAUAAAGCUCUACUGUUAUUAAAUUCACUGCCUGACACAUAUGAACAUCUCGUCACCACUUUACUGUAUGGUAAAGAAAAGAUUAAAUUCAUUGAUGUGUCCCAUGCUUUGGUGAAUAAUGAGUACUGAAAGAAGGACCAGAUUGUUCACAAGGAGUCAACGUCAGAAGCAUUGACAGUUAGAGGCAGAACAAACCCCAGAAGAUUUCGAGGGCGAGGGAGAUCUCGCUCAAAAUCCAGAGGAGAAUCAUCAAACAGACGAUAUCUUGCAAAAGAUGAGUGUGCCUUUUGUCACAAAAAAGGGCACUGGAAGAAAGAUUGUCCAAUCAAGGGCAACAAGGAAAAAGAUGAACCAACUGUGAACGUUGCACGAGAUGAGGAUGAACAAGACUCUGCAUUCAUGGUCUCAUCACCAGAAAACCAUUAUGGUGAAUGGGUUCUUGAUUCUGCAUGUUCCUAUCACAUGUGCCCUAACAAGCACUUAUUCUCGAGACUCGAGGAGUUCGAUGGAGGAGGUGUGUUGAUGGGUAAUGAUGAUGUGAGUGAGAUCAAAGGGAUUGGGACUAUCCAUCUGAAGAUGCAUAAUGGGGUAGUCAAGACACUAACAGAUGUACGGUAUGUACCUGACUUGAAGAAAAAUCUCUUCUCACUUGGAGUUCUAGAAUCCAGUGGUUAUAAGAUUAUCAUGCAUGGUGGAGUCCUAAAAGCAAUCCGUGGUGCAUUAGUUGUCUUAAGAGGCACGAGGAUAGGAAACUUAUAUUUCCUGGAUGGAUCUACAGUUACUGGUACAGCAGCUGUUUCCAAAAGUAUAGAAGAUGAUGAAGCAGAUAAUUCCAGACUUUGGCACAUGCGCUUAGGGCAUGCUGGUGAAAAGGCUUUGCAAGGAUUAGUCAAGCAAGGUCUAUUAAAAGGCGCCAAGACUGGGAAGCAUGGGUUCUGUGAGCAUUGUGUUCUUGGAAAACAGACAAGGGUCAAGUUUGGCACUGCAGUACACAACACAAAAGGGAUCCUAGAUUAUGUUCACACAGACGUAUGGGGACCUUCAAAGAAUGAAUCUCUUGGAGGUAAUCGUUGGUUUGUUACUUUUGUUGAUGAUUUCUCAAGACGAGUAUGGGUGUACAUGAUGAAACACAAGGAUGAGGUCCUUGAUAUCUUUCUGAAAUGGAAGAAAAUGGUGGAGACUCAAACUGGAAGGAGAGUUAAGACUCUUCGGUCAGAUAAUGGUGGUGAGUACACUUCAGAUCCUUUCUUUGAAGUUUGUCAGGAUGAAGGGAUCAAGCGACAUUUUACUGUUCGCAAAACACCACAACAGAAUGGAGUAGCAGAACGCAUGAACCGCACAUUGGUGGAGAAAGUCCGAUGUAUGCUAUCACAUUCGGGACUAAGCAAAGUGUUCUGGGGCGAGGCAUUAAGUUAUGCUCGUCAUAUUGUUAACCGGUUACCUUCAGCAGCAUUAAAUUGAAGAACCCCCUUAGAGGUAUGGUCAGGCUCUCCUGCAAAUGAUUAUGACUCUAUGCGUAUAUUUGGUUGCUCAGCAUAUUAUCAUGUUACUGAGUCCAAGCUAGAUCCUAGAGCAAAGAAAGCUAUAUUUUUGGGCUUUAGUGGAGGAGUAAAAGGCUACAGACUCUGGUGUUCUGAAUCAAAGAAAGUGAUCUUGAGUAGAGAUGUCACUUUUGAUGAGUCUGGCAUGUUACAGCCAGAGAAAUCACAGGAGAAGGAAAAACAGCAAGAGAAAUCACAGAGAAGGGAAAAACAGUCUGGUGAUGCACAACAGGUGGAGUUGGAGACUUCAGUCAUCCCUAUAAAGACUGUCAGACAAUCUCUACUGAAGGAGAUUCAGAUGAAAGUUCAGAUGAAGAGGAUGCAACAACUCCAGCAACCACACAACAAAAAUCCAUUGCAACGAGUAAACCGAAAAGAGUUAUCAAGAAACCUGCUCGGUAUUGUAAUAUGGUGGCUUAUGCACUUCCGGUGAUUGAUGAUGGAAUCCCCUACACCUACAAAGAAGCAGUACAGAGUGUAGAAAGUGCAAAAUGGAAAGAGGCAAUGGAUGAAGAGAUGAAAUCUCUCCACAAGAAUCAGACUUGGGAUUUGGUACAACUCCCUAAAGGAAAGAAGACAAUUGGUUGCAAGUGGGUAUAUGCCAAGAAGGAAGGUAAUCCUGGAAAAGACAACAUCCGAUUCAAAGCGAGAUUGGUAGCAAAAGGCUAUGCUCAGAAGGAGGGGAUAGAUUAUAAUGAGGUAUUCUCUCCAGUUGUUAAGCAUUCAUCAAUCCGUAUUCUGUUAGCCUUGGUUGCACAGUUUGAUUUGGAGUUAGCCCAACUUGAUGUGAAAACUGCCUUCCUACAUGGAGAUUUGGAAGAGGAAAUUUACAUGUCUCAGCCAGAUGGUUUCAAAGUCACUGGGAAAGAGAAUUGGGCUUGUAAACUGAAGAAGUCAUUAUACGGAUUGAAACAAUCUCCUCGCCAGUGGUAUAAGCGAUUUGAUAAGUUCAUGGCAGAACAUGGAUACACACGGAGUCAGUUUGAUCACUGUGUAUAUUUUCGCAAACUUCUUGAUGGUUCUUUCAUCUAUUUGCUCUUAUAUGUGGAUGAUAUGUUGAUCGCAUCAAAGAGCAAGGUGGAGAUUGAUAGACUGAAAGCUCAACUGAGAACUGAGUUUGAAAUGAAAGACCUUGGAGAAGCUAAGAAGAUUCUUGGCAUGGAGAUUCAGAGAGACAGAAGAAAAGGCACAGUCUGUUUGACACAGACCCAAUACUUGAAGAAAAUUCUACAGAGAUUUGGGGUAGAUGGUAAGACCAAGCCUGUAAGCACACCUUUAGCUCCUCAUUUUAAGCUAAGUGCUUCAAUGUCUCCACGCACAGAGGAAGAGCGCAAACAUAUGGCUCAAAUUCUGUAUGCAAAUGCAGUUGGUGCAUUAAUGUAUGCAAUGGUUUGUACGAGACCAGAUAUUUCACAUGCUGUCAGUAUGGUGAGCAGGUAUAUGCAUGAUCCGGGAAAGGGUCACUGGCAGGCAGUUAAGUGGAUUCUACGGUACAUUCAUGGCACAACUGAUAUUGGUUUGAAGUUUGAGAGGGAUGAUAGACUCGGGCAAAAUUUAGUUGGUUAUGUGGACUCGAACUAUGCUGGUGACUUAGACAAGCGUCGUUCAACAACAGGCUAUGUGUUUACACUUGCUAAAGGGCCUGUAAGUUGGAGGUCAACGUUACAAUCAACAGUAGCUUUGUCAACAACUGAGGUAGAGUACAUGGCAGUAACGGAAGCUUUCAAGGAAGCUAUUUGGUUACAUGGGUUGAUUGAAGAUUUGGGAAUUGAUCAAGAGCACGUGGAUGUCCAUUGUGAUAGUCAAAGUGCUUUUUGUCUUGCAAAGAAUCAGGUUCAUCAUUCCCGCACCAAGCACAUCGAUGUUCGAUUUCAUUUUGUUCGAGAAAUUGUGGAUGAAGGGGAUAUUCUGCUACAGAAGAUUGGUACCGCAGAUAAUCCAGCUGACAUGCUCACAAAAUGUGUCUCAGGGAUCAAGUUCCAACAUUGUUUGGACUUGGUCAACAUCUCUCGGUGUUGAGCACCUUCAGGGUGCAGCGCCAUAUGGCGCAUCAGAGGCAGCAUUGAUUGAUCACGAGGAUUGGAUGGAAAAAUCUUGCCAAGGUGGAGAUUUGUGGAGAUUUGUCUAGAUUUUAUUGAUAAUAACAAUACCCCACCACUUUACUUAGUGGAAGCAUCAUUAGUGGUUAGUGCCACAAUUAGUGGCAUGUUUCAAGGCUCUCCUUUCUGCUCUCCUUCCUCCUAUAAAUGGAGACAAUUAGUGCAAGUGAAGUGUGUGCAAGUGUGCAGAAGGAAAUAAUGCAACUGUGAGAGUGAAAGAGUGUAGAUUUGAGAGAAACACCGAGUGUAAGAGUGAAACACUGGGUUUUGUGGGAUUGUACUGGGUUGAGUUGAGUGUUUGUAUCAUUCCUCCAAUAAUAUACAAUCUAUUGCCUUCGUGGACGUACCCGGUUUUGGGGAACCACGUAAAUCUGCUUGUUUGUGUUUUAUUUGUGUUUGCUUUCGGUCCAGUAUGCACAACAAAAAUGACAAAUCUUUCUUUUCACCAUUGGAAUUAAUGGUGAAGUUUCUAGGUCGAGGCUUCCAAGCUAUGCAGCUUUUCCACCUUCAUCGAACACAAGUUACUAAUAUUUUCUUGCUCAAAUGAGUAUUCCACAGUAUUUGCUAUGCAUGUCUCGUGUCAUUCUUCCCUCCUGCAGAAAUUUAAUAACACAAGUUACACAACAGAUCAAAAGGAGAAAUUAUGGCGUAUCAGGUAAAUUAAACUUUAGAUUUAUAAGGAGAGUAUCAUUGAAUGUUGCUGAUGAAAUCCAUAUUUCCUUUAUGUUUCUUUUCAGGGUUAAAGAAAAUGGGAUAUAAAUCACAAAAAAAAUUGAAAGAUUAGGCUAUUUUCCAUUACGAAAACUAAAUUAAACUUUGAGUUUUGUUUAAACUUGAUGUAAAUGCCCAAUAGAAAUAAAGGGUAAACCAAAAAAUAUGAUAUAAUUUUCUAUUUUCUGUCUUUAUCUUUUUUUUUAAAUAUAUCCUGCGUAUUUAUUUCAGAUCCAAGUUUUUGUAUUCUUCACUGUCACAAUAAUAUAUAGAUGGCUAUAUAGACAUAAAAAUCAAAAGAAUAAUAUGAUUACCAGCCUCACAUAAAAAAAUAAAAUAAAAUAAAAAAUUGAAUUAUUCUUGAGGACCUUAAAGUUAAUUACCUGAUUUUUUUGUUUUCUUCAUCUUCGUCUUCUUUCACGCUCUUACAAGAGAAGUACUCAAAAGAACUA